rnacentral:lncRNA from 1 species
AGACACUGGGAUGGCUGCACCUUUACCCGUCCUCUCCAACUCUCUCCACCUAGAAAGUAUUCUUUUCUCUUAAUUUUGUUAGAGUUAUAUAGGAAUGCUCCUUCAGCAGAAAUGACAGAGGCUGUUGCUCUCAGAAUCAAAUGCAAUAAUGUGACCUGUAAAUUCCUGUGAAUAUUUGGAUAUUUUAGCGAUAUUUGUUUAUUCAGAAGAGAUUCUGGAUGCAGAACUCUCCUCCUCUCUGUUCUCUAACCCUGCUUUCCACCAUCAUUCUUCUCUCUCUAGGGCACAGAGAGAAUUAAGAACAACCUAAGGGUCAUUACAAUGAUCUAACUGCCUUACCUGCUUUUGAACUGGUUGAGCCUCUUGUGGGACCGAAAACAAAAGAAGGGUGUUGAAAUGCAAAUAGAUAACUCUGGGUCCCAGUCCCUGACUGCAAAAGGAAGCCAAAACUGACAACAACGUCUCCUUCUCUACGGAGGUUUGUAGAAAGGCUGUACAAAAAUCUCACAAGAUGUAUUUCUUCUCGUGGACUGGAGUCCCAAGGUGCUUAAGAGCUCUUCAAUUUGUUAAUGGAAAGAAACACCAUUUACACCGGAUGGCUACAAAGCAACCUUAUUCUGAGGGAGAUUUGAGACAGGAGAAGAGAAGACACGAAGGAGGGAAGGAAGUGAUGUGACCACAGAGGCAGCGAUUGGAGUGAUGUAGUCACAAGCCAAGGAGCACCAACAGCCACCAGGAGCUGGAAGAGCCCAAGAGUAUAUACUAAUACCUGGAUUUGGGACUUGGGACUUCUGGUCUCUAGAAGUAGGAAAGAAUAAACAUCUGUUUUUUGUUUGUUUGUUUGUUUUUUCUUUUUUUUGAGUCAGGGUCUUGCUCUGUCACCCAGGUUGAAGUGCAGGGGUGUGAUCACGGCUCACUGCAGCCUUGACCUCCUGGUCCCAAGCAAUCCAACUCAUCUCAGUCUCUCGAGUAGCUGGGAGACCAGCCACCAAACCCAGCUAAUUUUUGUAUUUUUUAUAGAGAUGAGGUUUCACACCAUGUUGCACAGGCUGGUCUCGAACUCCUGAGCUCAAGCGAUCUGCCUGCCUUGGCCUCCCGAACUGCAGGGAUUACAGGCAUGUUAUUUUAAGCCACUCAGUUUUUACUACAGCCACAGGGAAGCAAUACAAAGGUCAAGGGAAUUUUCUGUUUUUAAAAUAUGGAGGCCAGGCUCGGUGGCUCACGCCUGUAAUCCUAGCACUUUGGGAGGUUGAGGUGGGCGGAUCACUUGAGGUCAGGAGUUCAAGACGAGCCCAACCAACAUGGUGAAACCCCCGUCUCUACUAAAAAUACAAAAAUAAACUGGACUUCAUGGUGGGAGUCUGUAAUCCCAGCUACUUGUUCAAGAGAAUCACUUGAACCCGGGAGACAGAGGUUGCAAUGAGCCAAGAUCGUGCCACUGAACUCCAGCCUUGGUGACAGAGCAAGACUCCAUAUCUCUUUCUCUCUCUCUCUCUCUCUCUCUAUAUAUAUAUAUAUAUACACACACACACACAAACAGAAGAUUUCCAGCACACCAGAAAGGCAUUCUUUCUCUGUUUUGUAUAUAUACAUAUACACACACACACGCACACACACACACACACAGAUACACACACACAUAUAUACAUACACACACACACACACAUAUAUAGAUAGAUACACACACUUACACACACACAAACAGAAGAUUUCCAGCACACCAGAAAAGCAUUCUUUCUCUGUUGUUUUUUUUUCCAUUUAUGUAUCUCAGACAGGUCCAAUAACUGGAUCUGGAAAGACUGGAAAUCUUCCUUUUGUCCCUCUGUUUCCCCUCUCCACACUUCUCCACCCUGCCCUCUCCUGGGGGAGUCUGGCCCUUAUGAACCACAUCAAAGGAUCCUCUGGCUUCCGGUUGGGUUUGGCCAGUGGGGAACCCCAGCAGGUAGAGGGGAGGUGGAGAGCUUGGCUGUGUCCUCAAGUAGAAGGCCACUGGUUCUCUCAGCAUGUCCUCUCUACAUGCAUGUCAGGGUCCCCAUGACCACUCCUUUCUUGCAUCCUUAAGGCCUUGGAGUAGACAGCACUGCUUGCUAGCCCCAGGAACCUGCACUUUUCCUUGGGGUUUUCUGUACCGUAUCUGUAUUUACAAAUAGCAUCUUUACUAAAUCCUCUUGGAAUUAUGCAGAGUUGAAUAUGCCAUCUACUUCUCUGUGGGGACUCUGACUGGUGAUGCACUUUGAAAGGACAGAAAACCUUGAGUCUCUGGACAUUUCUACAGUGUUUCACAUUCAGCAUUGCUGGUAUUGUAGAUAAAUACCUGUCGGGUAGUUGUAUCAUUUUCAUGCUCAAUUAUUUUUCAGCAAAAGCUCUUUGGACUACUAUUAAUAUUCAAUGUCUUUGUGUUUUCUCUUAGAUCUCCCUAAGUCUCAUAUCUUAUGCUAUUUGCUAAAUGAUUAUAUUCUUUUUUAAAAAAAUUUUUAAUUUUUUAAUUUUUUUUCUAAUUUUUCAUCACUCUCAGGAUGUGAUUACAUUCUUUAUCUAUUAAUAUUUUCUUUUUUCUUCCACUUCUUGCCCACAAGUAUCAUCUUGAUCAUGGGUAAAUAAUUGCAUUAAUUUAAAAAUUUCAGCUUAUAGUCAUAUGAUGUUUUUUUCCUCCUAAGAAUUUCAGGAAACAACAUAUUGUCCUAAGGUAUUUGUAUACGUGUCACGGUCACUUGUUUGGUAAUUAAAUACUGUGUCCUUUGAAUGCCUGUGGAAAGCUGUCUUCCCUGAUAUUUCUCUCUCAAGAUAGCCAUGAGCCCACAAUUCUGAUUAUCAGUGCAGAGCGGGGCCCCAACUUUUUAUUCUUUAUUUUUAUUUUAGAGAUGGAGUUUUGUUCUGUCGCCCAGGCUGGAGUGCAGUGGUGCAGUCAUGGCUUACUGCAGCCUUGAACUCCUGGGUUCAAGCAAUCCUCCUGUCGCAGCCUCCUGAGUAGCUGGGGCUAAAGGUAUGUGCAACCAUACCCAGCUAAUUUUUUUUUUUUUUUGAGACAGAGUCUCGCUCUGUAGCCCAGGCUGGAGCAUAGUGGAAUGAUCUCAGCUCACUGCAGCCUCUGCCUCCCAGGUUCAAGCAAUUCUCCUGCCUCAGCCUCCUGAGUAGCUGGGAUUACAGGUGCACACCAGCAUGCCCGGCUAAGUUUUAUAUUUUUAGUAGUGACAGGGUUUCACCAUGUUGGCCAGGCUGGUCUUGAACUCCUGACCUCAGGUAAUCCGCCUGCUUCAGCCUCCUAAAGUGCUGGGAUUACAGGCGUGAGACACCGCACCAGCCUUUUUUAUUUUUAUUAUUAUUAUUUUUUGAGACAGAGUCUCACUCUGUCUCCCAGGCUGGAGUGCAGUGGUGCGAUCUCAGCUCACUGCGACCUCCACCUCCAGGGUUCAAGCGAUUCUCGUGUCUCAGCCUCCAGAGUAGCUGGGAUUACAGGCGCACGCCACCACCACUGGCUAAUUUUUUUGUUAUUGUUGUAUUUUUAGUAGAGACAGGGUUUCAUCAUGUUGGCCAGGCUGGUCUCAAACUCCUGAGCUCAGGCAAUCUGCCCACUUUGGCCUCCCAAAGUGCUAGGAUUACAGGCGUGAGCCACCACUCCCGGCCCAUAGGUUCUUACAUAAUGUUCACAACCAUCCCAAUUAUCUUCUUUUUCCAUCUUUGGAACCGAAGCUUUGAGGAGUGAAGCAUGGAGUGAGGAUUUGGACCUGGGACUCCUGACCCCUUAUCUAGCUAAUCCCCUUUCCAACCACCCACAGAGCACAGCACUCGCAGACCGGCCCUAGGUUUGCGGCCUGGCUUCUUUAGUGACCAUUUGCGAGGUUUCAGACAUCACUUUCCCAUCUCUAAGAUGGGGAUGAUACCCCACAGGGUGUUCAGCGGGUUAAACAUGGUCACGUGUGAGAAAGCACUGAGCCUCUUGCCUCUCUAAAAUGACCUCCCCUGGUCAAUUUCAUUAUCCUGUUUGUUUCCUCUAUACCAAGUACCCAGUCUGCAAUUACCUUGUUUGCUAUGAGGUUCUCCUGUUUAAAACAUGUGCUUCCUAAGGGAAGGGACUCGGCCUGUUUGUCUUCCCUGCUACAUUCUCAGCAGCACUUAGCACGGUCAUUGGCACACAGUAGAUGCUCAAUAAAUAUUUUGUUGUCUCCCUACCUCCUCAUCUAUUUAUCAUUUUCUUUUUUUUUUUUUUUUUGAGACGGAGUUUCGCUCUUGUUGCCCAGGCUGGAGUGCAAUGGCGUGAUCUCGGCUCACUGCAACAUCUGCCUCCUGAGUUCAAGCGAUUCUCCUGCCUCAGCCUCCCAAGUAGCUAGGAUUACAGGCAUGCGCCACCAUGCCCGUCUAAUUUUGUAUUUUUAGUAGAGAGAGGGUUUCUCCAUGUUGGUUAGGUUGGUCUGGAACUCCUGACCUCAGAUGAUCCACUUCCCUCGGCCUCCCAAAGUGCUGGGAUUACAGGCGUGAGCCACCGCGUCCAGUCUUACUUAUUUUCUAAAACAGGAUCCCGCAAACUAUAGCUCAAGGGUCACCUCUGCCUGUCACCUGUUUUUAUAUGACUUGUGAGCCAAAAGAUUUUUACAUUCUUAAACGGGUAGGGAAAAAAAAGAAGAAUUUAUGACAUGAAAAUUAUGCAAACUUCAGAUUUCUGUGUACGUAUGUAAACUUUUAAUGAAACACAACUGUGUCCAUUCAUUGACAUAUUGUCUAUGUCUGCUUUCAAACUACAGUGCAGAGUUGGGUAAUUGCAACAGAGAUCAUAGGAACCACAAAGCUUAAAAUAUUCACUAUGUGGCUCUUUACAGAAAAAGUUUGCCCAUCCUUGUCCUAAAAGAUAAAUAGAAAUUGCUUGAAAACUAAUAAUCACUCUGCUAUUCACCCUCAGUUAUUCAUGUACUUACCUGAUUGUCUUUCAUUCAGACACUUAUUUAUUCAACAAAUAUUUAUUGAGCAUCCACUUCUUCUACCAAAUAGAUCAAGGGACUCAGCUCUGUUUGCCCUCCCAUAGUUGGGGAGGUGUGUCAGGGAAUCGGGGGAAUGUGGCCCCAGUGAUGGUGACUGAAUUUGUGUUAACCCACCAGCUCCGUACCUUUGUUAAGGUGACAUAUGGGGGCUGUUGAAUAGAAAGAAGCCACAUACAUCCCAUGGGGCUUGAACCCAAGCUUUUGGCAUGAUGAAUAUCGAAGCGCUAGGCAGGGUCUCAUAAAUGGAGGCCUGUUCUUUUAGAUCAGGUUUUUCUUUUUCAGUCUGGGACUCACCUGUUACUUUUCUGGGCCUUGAAGCUCUGAUCUCUGCUUUUGUCUCUCUGUCUUCUGCAUCUCACAGUGUAAAUAUAGCUAAAACAUCCGCAGACACCCUUCUUCCUCUUCCCCUAUGGUUUCCAUUUCCUCUGUCCUCUGUCCUAGCUGUUAAAACUACAUUAGCUAUGAAGGGGGUCAGAGGAAUGAGAAAUAAUAGCUGUAAAUAUUUGUUAGGUGCCCAGCACAAGCAUUGUCAUUUUUAAUCUUUUCUUUAAAAGGUGGGUACUUUUAUUGUUCUCCUGUGUUACAGAUGAAAAAACUGUGGCUCAGAGGGGCAAAGCAAUUUGCCCAGUGUAACAUCUGUGAAGCAGUGAAGCCUGGAAUUUGAACCCAGGCAGUGUGACUCCAGAGAUGGAGCUCUUAAGUAUGGUGACGGAUCAGGCAUAUCUGCAUAUUCUAUGACAGGAAAGCAGUGUGGGUGGAAAAUAGGGGUGCCUUCCUUUUUUUGUAAUGGCAGUUUUGGCAACUCCCUCAGGUAGAUACCAAAGAGGAAAUUGGUAGUCACUGUCAGACCAGACACCCUGCAUCUCAGAAAGAACAUUUACUACCAAAGGGACUUGGAAGUGCUAACAGGCCGGAAAGAAACUGGAUGAGGGACAAAAAAGACUGACACUUGUUCUUUCUGCUGGUGUGGGGUUAUCAUGACUUUGCAAGAUCAAACAUCUUGACAAAACAUCAAAACAUCUUGACAUCUGACAAACCAGGUUGGUUCUCAGGAUCGACUCAAUGAUUGUCCAAAAUACCAGGUCAUAAAUUUAACAGAACUGACCCAACCAGCAAUGCCCGAGGUGCCUGUGGAAUGUUAAUCAUGUUACUAGAAAAAAGGAGGGGUCAAAUAAGUAUGGGGAUGUAGAGUUAAACAAGGGUAAGCAGGAUCUUAACUGUGUGAACUUCUGUGACCCUCCAAGAGGGACAAACUAUGGAUGGCAAUUAUCAGACCUCGGCCAUGUGUCAAUGGCUAUCUCAGGGGACUGGUGUUCUGGGUGUUCCAGGGAACUCCUUUUGGGCAAUGCUGCUUUAAGCCUUUCCCUUUCCCUUUUCCUUUUAGCUUAAGAAAUCCCAAACACGUUUGUGAUUUCAGAGCAGUCUGUGUCUUGUGUCAAUUCAUUGCUGCUUCUAGGCUAGGAAGGGAAAAGGGUUGCCAUAUUUCCAGUGAUGAAAGAACUUUGUUAGGAAAGAUGUUCAGAUUAAUAACACAAAAUUAGAUUGGAGUUUUUUGAGAGCCUUUCAAUUAUUCAGCAGUGAUGUCUCAGUAAAAGUGGAAGUAAACUGGGACCAUGUAAACCUUUCUCAAGUGUUAAUGUUUCACAUAUUUUAGUUUGUUUAGUCUUUUACAUAUUGUUCAAACCAUUAAGUUAGACCUCAGAAUAUAAAGCAUGUUUAUUUUCUAAUGAUAAACGAAACACAUAUUUAUGUGACUAAGAUGUGGGA